GCCGGGCAUGGUGGCGGGUGCCUAUAAUCCCAGCUACUCAGGAGGCUGAGGCAGGAGAAUCACUUGAAUCCAGGAGGCGGAGGUUGCAGUGAGCCAAGAUCGCGCCACUGCACUCCACCCUGGGUGACAGAGUGAGACUCUGUCUCAA
ensembl:misc_RNA Metazoa_SRP Metazoan signal recognition particle RNA